rnacentral:rRNA from 1 species
GAUGAACGCUGGCUGUGUGCCUAACACAUGCAUGUCGAGCGGAGUACUUUGUACUUAGCGGCAAAUGGGUGAGUAACACGUACCUAACCUACCUCAUAAUUUGGGACAACUAGGAGAAGUCUUAGCUAAUACCAAAUACAGUUAAUUUCGCAUGAAAUUAUAUUAAAAGGAGCGUUUGCUUCGUUAUGAGAUGGGGGUGCGCUACAUUAGAUAGUUGGUAGGGUAAUGGCCUACCAAGUCGAUGAUGUAUAGCGGGGCUGAGAGGCUGAUCCGCCACACCGGGACUGAGAUACGGCCCGGACUCCUACGGGAGGCAGCAGUGAAGAAUAUUCCACAAUGAACGAAAGUUUGAUGGAGCAACACAGCGUGCAGGAUGAAGGUUUUAGGACUGUAAACUGCUUUUGUAAGGAAAGAAAAACAAGAAGAGGAAAUGCUUUUUGUCUUGACGGUACCUUAAGAAUAAGCACCGGCAAACUAUGUGCCAGCAGCCGCGGUAACAC